AUCUAAAUAGACGGAUUACACCCGGGGCGGGUCAACCCGUGGGGUAUAUCCCCAACAUUAUCCCCCAGUUUAAGUUGGAUUUAUCCAUGUUAAACUCCAUCCUAGAAAUGAAACAAAACCUUAAAUAUGAAGUUAAAUUUGUGCUUUGUCCUUAAGGCGACAUUUCUCUUCACUUUGUUCAUUGUAGUUUUGUCCAGGUCAAUGUGGCACCGAUUUAUUUUCCUUCAUACAAUACUUCCAUUCUUUUCUAUC
rnacentral:lncRNA from 1 species